rnacentral:lncRNA from 1 species
GUAUGUGACUGGAUUUGAUUUAGCACUUGGUCUUAAACCACAGUUCAGUUUUAAAGUGAGUCAUUAAUUGUGUUUUCUUCACAGUGACAGAGGAUCUCAGAUUGAAGUUGAUUUGACAAAUAUUGUGGGCAUUAUAUUUUUAUAGCACGAAACUUUACCCUGUUGUCACUUAAGUCAGGAGUAUCCAUUGAUUUUACUUGAAGAGUGGAAGCAGUCCUGUGGCCAACAGGCAUGAUAUCAUGGUGAAAUUCUAAGGAGACAUUCAUUGCCUCUCCUAGGAGAGAAGGAAGAAUUAAGUCCUAGAUGCAGUUGUACACAGUACUGGUAAAACAACAAAUCCUGUCAGGUAGAGAUAUGAAACUAAGAAGUGCUUUGUAGAUCUGCUGAAGACUUAAAAGUUGUUCUCAACACUGUUUCAACGGUAGCUUUCAGAAAAAAACUUUAGAUAGUAUUUGACAAACUGUAUCUUCUGAACAUUUUUGUCAUGGUCUCUCCCAGAAUUUGUUCUAAGUAAGCAAUUACCCUGGCAAAGUCCUGUCUUUGGAAGA